rnacentral:rRNA from 1 species
AACGUAGGAGGCAAGCGUUAUCCGGAUUUACUGGGCGUAAAGCGCGUGCAGGCGGUUCCAUAAGUGGGAUGUGAAAGCUCCUGGCUCAACUGGGAGAGGUCGUUCCAGACUGUGGGACUGGAGGAUGGUAGAGGGAGGUGGAAUUCCGGGGUGUAGUGGUGAAAUGCGUAGAUAUCCGGAGGAACACCAGUGGCGAAAGCGGCCUCCUGGACCAUUUCUGGACGCUCAGA